AACAGGAUUAGAUACCCUGGUAGUCCACGCCGUAAACGAUGAGUGCUAGGUGUUAGACCCUUUCCGGGGUUUAGUGCCGUAGCUAACGCAUUAAGCACUCCGCCUGGGGAGUACGACCGCAAGGUUGAAACUCAAAGGAAUUGACGGGGGCCCGCACAAGCGGUGGAGCAUGUGGUUUAACUCGAAGCAACGCGAAGAACCUUACCAGGUCUUGACAUCCCUCUGACCACUCUAGAGAUAGAGUUUUCCUUCGGGACAGAGGUGACAGGUGGUGCAUGGUUGUCGUCAGCUCGUGUCGUGAGAUGUUGGGUUAAGUCCCGCAACGAGCGCAACCCCUAUUGUUAGUUGCCAUCAUUGAGUUGGGCACUCUAGCGAGACUGCCGGUAAUAAACCGGAGGAAGGUGGGGAUGACGUCAAAUCAUCAUGCCCCUUAUGACCUGGGCUACACACGUGCUACAAUGGCUGGUACAACGAGUCGCGAGUCGGUGACGGCAAGCUAAUCUCUUAAAGCCAGUCUCAGUUCGGAUUGUAGGCUGCAACUCGCCUACAUGAAGUCGGAAUCGCUAGUAAUCGCGGAUCAGCACGCCGCGGUGAAUACGUUCCCGGGCCUUGUACACACCGCCCGUCACACCACGAGAGUUUGUAACACCCGAAGUCGGUGAGGUAACCAUUUGGAGCCAGCCGCCUAAGGUGGGAUAGAUGAUUGGGGUGAAGUCGUAACAAGGUAACC
rnacentral:rRNA from 1 species